rnacentral:rRNA from 1 species
GACGAACGCUGGCGGCGUGCUUAACACAUGCAAGUCGAACGGAAAGGCCCUGCUUUUGUGGGGUGCUCGAGUGGCGAACGGGUGAGUAACACGUGAGUAACCUGCCCUUGACUUUGGGAUAACUUCAGGAAACUGGGGCUAAUACCGGAUAGGAGCUCCUGCUGCAUGGUGGGGGUUGGAAAGUUUCGGCGGUUGGGGAUGGACUCGCGGCUUAUCAGCUUGUUGGUGGGGUAGUGGCUUACCAAGGCUUUGACGGGUAGCCGGCCUGAGAGGGUGACCGGCAACAUGGGGAAUGAGAACCGCCCGAGAGCCCGACGGGAGGCAGAGGGGGGGAAUAUUGAAAAAGGGGGGGAGGCCGGAAGCAGCAGCGCCGGGGGGGGAAGGCGGGCCUUGGGGUUGAAACCCGCUGCCGCCGGUAAAGAGGGGGGGGGGAGGGAAGGGGAAAAAAAAAACCCGGCAAACUACGUG